AGGACCGCACCUGCCUCACCUGCUCCGGGAAGGCUCGGCCCCUAUCACGUGACUGCCCAAUCAGCACUUCCCCUUAGGAAGUGGUUGUGGCGCCAUUCCACCAGGCGCGCAUUCAAUCGCAGUUAUAACUUUUAUUCAUUCAUUCAUUCCUGCAAUAUUUUCAAAAGUUUCGGUUGGGACUUGAGCCCUUGCCAGGACAGAAGGAACAUCAGAGGCCAAAGAUAGCAUUCUUUGAGGCAGGACGUUCCAGAUGACUAAAGUCUAUGAAUGUUUAUAUGUGUUUCUGUGAAAAUAAAAAGAAUCUGAAGUUCAAAAAGUGAUAGAUUGGUGAUAGAUUGGCAGGGUGAGGACAGAGAGGCUCCUGGGGUGUCCGAAAUGUGCUAUAUAUUUAUCUGGGUGGUGAUUACUUGGGCAUACACAUAUUUAAAAAUUCACUGAGUUGUACACAUAAGACGUGCAGUUUACUGUAUGGAAAUGAUUAUAUCUCCCUUUCAAAAGAAAAUAGUAAGAAGAAAAAAGAACUGAGAUUAGAAAAAUAGGCUGGGGCCAGAUGAUGAACGGUUUGGGCAUAUAAGAGAAGGGAAUCUAUCUCCCAAGGGUGGCUGGGAGCCACGGCAAUUGAAGAUUAUAGGUAUCUUAAUCCAUCAGCCUGACAACACCAGGAAUAUAGUCUGACAAAUUAAAGUUUAUUGACCCACUGAGAUGAUGGAGACCACACAACAGAGAAACCAUGGAGCAUCUUGACAAAGGAAAAGGAUCACUCACUUUAGAGGAAGCAGCUGCCACAUUGUGAGGACACUCAAGCAGUCAUCCACUGGAGAAACACACAUGUCGAGGAACCAAGUCCUCCAGCCCCAGUCAAGCCUUCAGGUGACAGCUGUCCCCACCAACAUCCUGACUGCAACCUCGUGAGAGAUCCUAAGCCAGAACCCCACAGCUUAGCCAUUCAUUGAUUUCCAACCCUCAGAAAUUGUGUGAGACAAUAAACGUUUAUUGUUGCUUUAAA